rnacentral:rRNA from 1 species
AUUGAACGCUGGCGGCAGGCCUAACACAUGCAAGUCGAACGAGUGGCGGACGGGUGAGUAAUGUCUGGGAAACUGCCUGAUGGAGGGGGAUAACUACUGGAAACGGUAGCUAAUACCGCAUACCAUCGGAUGUGCCACUAGGGGAUUAGCUAGUAGGUGGGGUAAAGGCUCACCUAGGCGACGAUCACUCGCUGGUCUGAGAGGAUGACAAGCCCCACUGGAACUGAGACACGUUCCAGACUCCUACGGGAGGCAGCAGUGGGGAAUAUUGCACAAUGGGCGCAGGCCUGAUGCAGCCAUGCCGCGUGUAUGAAGAAGGCCUUCGGGUUGUAAAGUACUUUCAGCGGGGAGGCGUUACCCGCAGAAGAAGCACCUGCUAACUCCGUGCCAGCAGCCGCGGUAAUUC